rnacentral:misc_RNA from 1 species
GAUGAAGAACGCAGCGAAAUGCGAUAAGUAAUGUGAAUUGCAGAAUUCAGUGAAUCAUCGAAUCUUUGAACGCACAUUGCGCCCCCUGGUAUUCCGGGGGGCAUGCCUGUUCGAGCGUCAUUUCACCACUCAAGCCUCGCUUGGUAUUGGGCAUCGCGGUCCGCCGCGCGCCUCAAAUCGACCGGCUGGGUCUUCUGUCCCCUAAGCGUUGAGGAAACUAUUCGCUAAAGGGUGUUCGGGAGGCUACGCCGUAAAACAACCCCAUUCCUAAGGUUGACCUCGGAUCAGGUAGGGAUACCCGCUGAACUUAAGCAUAUCAAUAAGCGGAGGA